rnacentral:rRNA from 1 species
GGGUUGUGAGGUUAAGCGACUAAGCGUACACGGUGGAUGCCCUGGCAGUCAGAGGCGAUGAAGGACGUGCUAAUCUGCGAAAAGCGUCGGUAAGGUGAUAUGAACCGUUAUAACCGGCGAUGUCCGAAUGGGGAAACCCAGUGCAAUUCGUUGCACUAUCGUUAACUGAAUACAUAGGUUAACGAGGCGAACCGGGGGAACUGAAACAUCUAAGUACCCCGAGGAAAAGAAAUCAACCGAGAUUCCCCCAGUAGCGGCGAGCGAACGGGGAGCAGCCCAGAGUCUGAAUCAGCUUGUGUGUUAGUGGAACGGUCUGGAAAGUCCGACGGUACAGGGUGAUAGUCCCGUACACCAAAAUGCACAGGCUGUGAACUCGAAGAGUAGGGCGGGACACGUGGUAUCCUGUCUGAAUAUGGGGGGACCAUCCUCCAAGGCUAAAUACUCCUGACUGACCGAUAGUGAACCAGUACCGUGAGGGAAAGGCGAAAAGAACCCCGGCGAGGGGAGUGAAAAAGAACCUGAAACCGUGUACGUACAAGCAGUGGGAGCACCUUCGGGUGUGACUGCGUACCUUUUGUAUAAUGGGUCAGCGACUUAUAUUCUGUAGCAAGGUUAACCGUAUAGGGGAGCCGCAGGGAAACCGAGUCUUAACUGGGCGUUAAGUUGCAGGGUAUAGACCCGAAACCCGGUGAUCUAGCCAUGGGCAGGUUGAAGGUUGGGUAACACUAACUGGAGGACCGAACCGACUAAUGUUGAAAAAUUAGCGGAUGACUUGUGGCUGGGGGUGAAAGGCCAAUCAAACCGGGAGAUAGCUGGUUCUCCCCGAAAGCUAUUUAGGUAGCGCCUCGUGAACUCAUCUUCGGGGGUAGAGCACUGUUUCGGCUAGGGGGUCAUCCCGACUUACCAACCCGAUGCAAACUACGAAUACCGAAGAAUGUUAUCACGGGAGACACACGGCGGGUGCUAACGUCCGUCGUGAAGAGGGAAACAACCCAGACCGCCAGCUAAGGUCCCAAAGUCAUGGUUAAGUGGGAAACGAUGUGGGAAGGCACAGACAGCCAGGAUGUUGGCUUAGAAGCAGCCAUCAUUUAAAGAAAGCGUAAUAGCUCACUGGUCGAGUCGGCCUGCGCGGAAGAUGUAACGGGGCUAAACCAUGCACCGAAGCUGCGGCAGCGACACUAUGUGUUGUUGGGUAGGGGAGCGUUCUGUAAGCCUGCGAAGGUGUGCUGUGAGGCAUGCUGGAGGUAUCAGAAGUGCGAAUGCUGACAUAAGUAACGAUAAAGCGGGUGAAAAGCCCGCUCGCCGGAAGACCAAGGGUUCCUGUCCAACGUUAAUCGGGGCAGGGUGAGUCGACCCCUAAGGCGAGGCCGAAAGGCGUAGUCGAUGGGAAACAGGUUAAUAUUCCUGUACUUGGUGUUACUGCGAAGGGGGGACGGAGAAGGCUAUGUUAGCCGGGCGACGGUUGUCCCGGUUUAAGCAUGUAGGCUGGUUGUCCAGGCAAAUCCGGAUAAUCAAGGCUGAGGUGUGAUGACGAGGCACUACGGUGCUGAAGUAACAAAUGCCCUGCUUCCAGGAAAAGCCUCUAAGCAUCAGGUAACAUCAAAUCGUACCCCAAACCGACACAGGUGGUCAGGUAGAGAAUACCAAGGCGCUUGAGAGAACUCGGGUGAAGGAACUAGGCAAAAUGGUGCCGUAACUUCGGGAGAAGGCACGCUGGUGUGUAGGUGAAGCCCCUGCGGGUGGAGCUGAGACCAGUCGAAGAUACCAGCUGGCUGCAACUGUUUAUUAAAAACACAGCACUGUGCAAACACGAAAGUGGACGUAUACGGUGUGACGCCUGCCCGGUGCCGGAAGGUUAAUUGAUGGGGUUAUCCGUAAGGAGAAGCUCUUGAUCGAAGCCCCGGUAAACGGCGGCCGUAACUAUAACGGUCCUAAGGUAGCGAAAUUCCUUGUCGGGUAAGUUCCGACCUGCACGAAUGGCGUAAUGAUGGCCAGGCUGUCUCCACCCGAGACUCAGUGAAAUUGAACUCGCUGUGAAGAUGCAGUGUACCCGCGGCAAGACGGAAAGACCCCGUGAACCUUUACUAUAGCUUGACACUGAACAUUGAGCCUUGAUGUGUAGGAUAGGUGGGAGGCUUUGAAGCGUGGACGCCAGUCUGCGUGGAGCCAACCUUGAAAUACCACCCUUUAAUGUUUGAUGUUCUAACGUUGGCCCCUGACCGGGGUUGCGGACAGUGUCUGGUGGGUAGUUUGACUGGGGCGGUCUCCUCCCAAAGCGUAACGGAGGAGCACGAAGGUUAGCUAAUCCUGGUCGGACAUCAGGAGGUUAGUGCAAUGGCAUAAGCUAGCUUGACUGCGAGCGUGACGGCGCGAGCAGGUGCGAAAGCAGGUCAUAGUGAUCCGGUGGUUCUGAAUGGAAGGGCCAUCGCUCAACGGAUAAAAGGUACUCCGGGGAUAACAGGCUGAUACCGCCCAAGAGUUCAUAUCGACGGCGGUGUUUGGCACCUCGAUGUCGGCUCAUCACAUCCUGGGGCUGAAGUAGGUCCCAAGGGUAUGGCUGUUCGCCAUUUAAAGUGGUACGCGAGCUGGGUUUAGAACGUCGUGAGACAGUUCGGUCCCUAUCUGCCGUGGGCGCUGGAGAAUUGAGGGGGGCUGCUCCUAGUACGAGAGGACCGGAGUGGACGCAUCACUGGUGUUCGGGUUGUCAUGCCAAUGGCACUGCCCGGUAGCUAAAUGCGGAAGAGAUAAGUGCUGAAAGCAUCUAAGCACGAAACUUGCCCCGAGAUGAGUUCUCCCUGAGACUUUAAGUCUCCUGAAGGAACGUUAAAGACGAUGACGUUGAUAGGCCGGGUGUGUAAGCGCAGCGAUGCGUUGAGCUAACCGGUACUAAUGAACCGUGAGGCUUAACCUUACAACGCCGAAG